CCUACGGGCGGCAGCAGUGGGGAAUAUUGGACAAUGGGCGAAAGCCUGAUCCAGCCAUGCCGCGUGUGUGAAGAAGGCCUUCGGGUUGUAAAGCACUUUCAGUGGGGAAGAAAGCCUUGGGGCUAAUACCCUCGAGGAAGGACAUCACCCACAGAAGAAGCACCGGCUAACUCCGUGCCAGCAGCCGCGGUAAUACGGAGGGUGCGAGCGUUAAUCGGAAUUACUGGGCGUAAAGCGCGCGUAGGCGGUCUGAUAAGCCGGUUGUGAAAGCCCCGGGCUCAACCUGGGAACGGCAUCCGGAACUGUCAGGCUAGAGUGCAGGAGAGGAAGGUAGAAUUCCCGGUGUAGCGGUGAAAUGCGUAGAGAUCGGGAGGAAUAGCAGUGGCGAAGGCGGCCUUCUGGACUGACACUGACGCUGAGGUGCGAAAGCGUGGGUAGCAAACAGGAUUAGAUACCCGUGUAGUC
rnacentral:rRNA from 1 species